CCUCACUUUCGAUCAAGUUUUGCUCCAUGAGCUAAUGUGGAUGCAAAAAUCGGGUUCCUGUGUUGCAUACCUGUUGUGACGGAAAUUUGUGCCUAUUGUUGUCCCUUUCAACGCGGCAUCCUCUUUGGGUGCUCGGUUGGACUAGAUAGUGGGGCUUGUGUUCCACGGACAUCUCAUUUGAUUGUUCGGAUGGACGGCGAGUGCUUUACUUGUUCUCUCGGAUGCGGAACUUCUUGAUGGGUUUUGGGGUCAUCGGCCCUUGUUCCCAAUCUCAAGCGUUUAUCGCUUUACUGAAAUGACGCUCUUGACUUGUUUUUGACCGCGUGGAGCUCUCGGGCUUCACGAUGGAUCAUGCUUGGCGGACGUCGUGAAGGAAUGCUACCUGGUUG
rnacentral:misc_RNA from 1 species